rnacentral:rRNA from 1 species
GCGUGCGGGAAGAAGGCCUUCGGGUUGUAAACCGCUUUUGUCAGGGAAGAAAAGGUUCUGGAUAAUACCUGGGACUCAUGACGGUACCUGAAGAAUAAGCACCGGCUAACUACGUGCCAGCAGCCGCGGUAAUACGUAGGGUGCAAGCGUUAAUCGGAAUUACUGGGCGUAAAGCGUGCGCAGGCGGUUAUGCAAGACAGAGGUGAAAUCCCCGGGCUCAACCUGGGAACUGCCUUUGUGACUGCAUAGCUAGAGUACGGUAGAGGGGGAUGGAAUUCCGCGUGUAGCAGUGAAAUGCGUAGAUAUGCGGAGGAACACCGAUGGCGAAGGCAAUCCCCUGGACCUGUACUGACGCUCAUGCACGAAAGCGUGGGGAGCAAACAGGAUUAGAUACCCUGGUAGUCCACGCCCUAAACGAUGUCAACUGGUUGUUGGGAGGGUUUCUUCUCAGUAACGAAGCUAACG